AUCGAGCUGACGAGUCCCAAAUAGGACGAAACACGCGUCAAACUGGAU
rnacentral:hammerhead_ribozyme from 1 species